GAAUUGACGGGGGCCCGCACAAGCAGUGGAGUAUGUGGUUUAAUUCGAAGCAACGCGAAGAACCUUACCAGGGCUUGACAUGUAAGUGAAUGGUAUAGAGAUAUGCCAGUCCUUCGGGACGCUUACACAGGUGGUGCAUGGUUGUCGUCAGCUCGUGUCGUGAGAUGUUGGGUUAAGUCCCGCAACGAGCGCAACCCUUGUCGUUAGUUGCCGGCAUUAAGUUGGGCACUCUAGCGAGACUGCCGGUGACAAAUCGGAGGAAGGUGGGGACGACGUCAAAUCAUCAUGCCCCUUAUGUCCUGGGCUACACACGUACUACAAUGGCGACUACAGAGGGCAGCGAGACCGCGAGGUUAAGCAAAUCCCGAAAAGUCGUCCCAGUUCGGAUUGCAGGCUGCAACCCGCCUGCAUGAAGUCGGAAUUGCUAGUAAUGGCAGGUCAGCAUACUGCCGUGAAUACGUUCCCGGGCCUUGUACACACCG
rnacentral:rRNA from 1 species